AGUGAACGCUGGCGGUAGGCCUAACACAUGCAAGUCGAACGGCAGCACAGUAAGAGCUUGCUCUUACGGGUGGCGAGUGGCGGACGGGUGCGGAAUACAUCGGAAUCUACUUUUUCGUGGGGGAUAACGUAGGGAAACUUACGCUAAUACCGCAUACGACCUACGGGUGAAAGCAGGGGAUCUUCGGACCUUGCUCGAUUGAAUGAGCCGAUGUCGGAUUAUCUAGUUGGCGGGGUAAAGGCCCACCAAGGCGACGAUCCGUAGCUUGUCUGAGAGGAUGAUCAGCCACACUAGAACUGACGCACGGUCCAUACUCCUACGGGAGGCAGCAGUCGAGAAUAUUGGACAAUGGGCGCAAGCCUGAUCCAGCCAUACCGCGUCGGUGAAGAAGGCCUUCGGGUUGUAAAGCCCUUUUGUUGGGAAAGAAAAGCAGCAGGUUAAUACCCCGCUGUUCUGACGGUACCCAAAGAAUAAGCACCGGCUAACUUCGUG
rnacentral:rRNA from 1 species